rnacentral:lncRNA from 1 species
UGGGUCUGCAAUGAUUAUUGAGUUAAUGUACUCAUUAUCAAACACCUUAAUGGGAGGCUAUGACUCAGUUAUCUCCAUAACUUUAUCAUUUUAAGGAUCUAAUAAUUUUAGAGAAUUUAAAUAAUUUAGAGGAUGAGGUCAGAUGAACUAGCUUAUCAUGAUCCUCCCACUGGCUUCACCAAGUCAGCUUAAGGGAGACCAUUAAAAGAGCUAGUCUAGGAGCACCUAAAUCAGUCACACUGAUUUACUUAGCUGACAUGGAUCAGCUUGAAUAGUCAAAUGAUCCGAUCAAAAUAUAAUUUCACCAAGAGGCCAGGUAAGUUCGAUCAGUGGGAGGGUCUACCAAAGCUUUCCUUAGACACCAUCAGAAAUAGCCAGGUAAGUAGGCUCCCAAUUAAAAACCACCGGUCUGGUUUACCUUAGACACCAACUGGUUUAAUUAGUUUCGAUUAGAUCAACCUAACAGUUCGUGCUAGACCGCUUAGCCAAGAAUCAAGUCCAUUUGGUUCUUGUUAAAGACAUGGACUUGACCAACUACAACUAUUGUNNN